GCAGACGUAUCAGAGGCGAGUCAGGUG
rnacentral:piRNA from 1 species